rnacentral:rRNA from 1 species
UACGUAGGAGACGAGCGUUGUCCGGAGUUACUGGGCGUAAAGGGUGCGCAGGUGGCGGCGCGCGUGGGGGGUGAAAUCCCUCGGCUUAACCGAGGAACUGCCAUCCAGACUGCUUGGCUUGAGACCGGGAGAGGUGAGUGGAAUUCCCAGUGUAGCGGUGAAAUGCGUAGAUAUUGGGAGGAACACCAGUGGCGAAGGCGGCUCACUGGACCGGUACUGACGCUGAGGCGCGAAAGCGUGGGGAGCAAACGGGG